AUAUGCUUGCUGAAGCUGCUGAUCGUGAUUUAAGGUGAUUCACUCAAUGGCGAAAGAUGGAGCUGUGUGCUGAGAUUGUCCUGUAGCUGCACUAUAUUUAGGAGGUAAUAUGUGUUUGAUAGAGUACAGGUGGGUGCAUAUGUUUAUAUAUUCAUGAUGACUUGUAUAGAGGUAUUAUUAUUAUUUUAACCAAGAAGUUUACUCAUCCUUUUUUUUUUUUUUUUUUUUUUUUUUUAGCAGAAUAUGUAUCAAAGAGCCCUUCCCUGCCCAAAGAGAAACCCAUCCUCUGCAGCUAACCAGAGUUCAAACAGCAGAGGCAUUUCAACACAUCACAGAGCCCUGCAUACUGGCUGGCUGCUUCUCAAGUUAAAGAUUUAUAAUAUAUUUAAUAUGGAUGAAAACUAGAACCACGGGUUGUAAACUAUUAAUGGAAGAGCAGUAGACUCCUGCAAUCAGUAUGCAGGCACUGGUCUUGGAGCAUGAAAUUCCCUUGCGGUGUGGAGAUGUGAGGAGGCCCCUGUGAAGCAUGGCCACCAGUGUCCGAGGGGAACAAGAUCAGUAGGAAGAUGACCCAGGCCCCAUGGCUGCUACCAUCAUGUCCUGUGUGAUGGCCCCACUGCUCUCCUCAGCAAGGAGGAGGGAUGCCUUCAGAGAAUGUAGACGGCCAGCUCAGGAAUGGAUGCCUGCACUGAAGACAUUGAAGCUUAGAUGCAUCCCAACUGCUUGCUUGGUAAACAAUAUUGUGGCAUUCAAGGUCUGGGGCAUCACACUGAACAAUGACGACAAAAUCUGUUCAUUUAGUUGAGCACUGUCUAUUUUAUUCACUAAAUUAUACAGGAGGUCCUUUAAAAAGCAUAAUUACAUGUUUCUGUAGUUAUUAACUUUGUCACGGUGAAUUUGCAGAAAGUGAUGCUGUCUGUAAAACCUUAAUUGUACUUUUUUUUUUUUUAAAAAAAAAAAAAAACAAAACAACUCCUGAAUCUUUGAUGAAAUGCCAAUCGAUUCCUGGGAAUUUUUAGAAGCAAAGCUGAAAAAAACCUAAAGUUUCCGUUUUCGUGAGGGACUGUUCAUUGAUGGAGCUGGAACCUUCUAUUGCACAGACCUUUGGCACUUCAGUGUUAGAAUAACUGAUAGCUGCUUCAGAUUGUCAUUGUCUAUGUUUUCCAGCAGUAAAGGAGAAUUAAAAGUGCCCUUUCCAAGGUGCUUUUUAGGUUAUGGCUGAUAUCAGGGGUGUGGUGAGACUGAGGAAUUUCUGCAUUUUGGAGGGGAAGUUCCACUGGUGAUUAGAGA
rnacentral:lncRNA from 1 species